rnacentral:rRNA from 1 species
ACUGAACGCUGGCGGCAGGCUUAACACAUGCAAGUCGAGCGGGGACUUCGGUCCUAGCGGCGAACGGGUGAGGAAUGCUUGGGAAUCUGCCCAGUAGCGGGGGAUAACGUUUCGAAAGGAACGCUAAUACCGCAUACGCCCUACGGGGGAAAGGGGGGGAUCUUCGGACCUCUCACUAUUGGAUGAGCCCAAGUCGGAUUAGCUAGUUGGUGGGGUAAAGGCCUACCAAGGCGACGAUCCGUAGCUGGUCUGAAAGGAUGAUCAGCCACACUGGAACUGAGACACGGUCCAGACUCCUACGGAAGGCAGCAGUGGGGAAUAUUGGACAAUGGGCGAAAGCCUGAUCCAGCCAUGCCGCGUGUGUGAAGAAGGCCUUCGGGUUGUAAAGCACUUUAAGCGAGGAGGAAUGGCUCUUGGUUAAUAACCUUGAGCAGUGACGUUACUCGCAGAAUAAGCACCGGCUAACUCUGUGCCAGCCGCCGCCGUAAGAC